UCAGUGUUUCCAUAACACUGAAGAAGAAGCUGGGCCUUCAGUUGGCACCUGCGUAUUUUUAUGACUUCUCAGAGUCCUGUGGGUAAUGGCUGAGGAGACAAAUCAUGCAGGAAGCAAUG
rnacentral:snoRNA from 1 species